rnacentral:lncRNA from 10 species
CGACAGAGCGAGACUCUGUCUCAAAAAAAUAAAAAUAAAAAUAGAUACAUGAUGGAGUAUUACUUCUCUGAGUUUAUUUACCAUUUUGUCUAGUUUUGACUUCUGGAUCCAUGUUAAUGUUUUGCACAUUAAAAAAAGUUGACAAGAAAAAAUAUGCAGAACAUGCUUGUCCUCAGGCUUGUCAGAGACUCCUAUAACCAUAUAAAGAAGCUGAGGGUUGAUCAUGCUUGAGCUAUGAUACUUAUUAAAAUAGUACUAGAAAGACAAAUAGAAUGUAGCAUGGCAAAAGAGCUGCACAUUUUGGGAGAAGGCAUUUAUUUGUAGGGGCUGAAAUGUGCUAGCUCGAGAAUCAGACCUAAGAAUUACAAGGUGAUUAACCAAAGGAAAAAGUCUCUGGAAGUAGAAAACUAAAAAGAAGGUUUGGAACAGGCUGGAAGUGAGAUUGAAGCAUAUCACAGAAAUGUUAGACAUUCUUCAAUGUCAGUGCCUUGGAUGAAUUUAUAAGGCUUUGCCUUAAAGUUACUUGUGGGCUUAUAAAGCCUGUGUCAAAGCUAAACAAAGCCAGACAAUAGUUUAGACAAGAAGUAAGGAUAGGUAUUUAUUUAUUUAUUUGAGAUGGAGUUUCACUCUUGUCGCCCAGGCUGGAGGGUAAUGGCGCGAUCUUGGCUCACCGCAACCUCCGUGUCCGGGGUUCAAGCGAUUCUCCUGCCUCAGCCUCCUGAAUAGCUGGGAUUACAGGCAUGCACCACCACGCCCGGCUAAUUUUUUUGUAUUUUUAGUGGAGACAGCGUUUCUCCAUGUUGGUCAGGCUGGUUUUGAACUUUUGACCCCAGGUGAUCUGCCCACCUCGGCCUCCCAAAGUGUUGGGAUUACAGGCGUGAGCCACUGCACCCGGCCUAGGAUAGGUUUUUUUAAGUAGUAACUAUUGCAGUAGGGAAGAGGGCCCAAGGUGAACUGAACUUAACUUCCUUAAAAAAAAAAAAAAUGCAGGAGGCCUUUUGAAGGCUGGGAUGUGCUAAGGGAUAGGCAUGAAGAUAUUAAGGAGAAUUGCUCCAUGUGACUAGACAAUCUGGAUUUGUGAAUUGGCUCUUGUCCAGAAGAGAAAUAAGCACCUAUUUUUACGACAGGAGCUAGUAGUGCAAGUUAGAGCAAGGCACCCACCUGGUUGGGAGCUGGAGCAAGAUUUAUUUCCUCAAAUGUUUGCAUUUCAAAGAAACUCUCAGGUCCCAGUGAAAAUAGCUCUGGGUAGAAGAUUUACAUCUCAAAGAGGCAGAGAAAGAUGUUUUAAUUGCAAGCUUUCUUUCUAAGUAAUUGCACUAAGAUGAAGUUCAGGGGCCUGUGUCUAUUGCUAGGUUUGGGCUGGGAUGCACAGUAAAUUUUUCUGACAGCGAUGAGCUUUUUCAGGCAGGCAUUUUAAGCGGGGGGCUGAGGUCCUCCUAGGGACAAGGCCUUAAGUUGCUAGAAGCCAUGCUAGAGCUUGGUUAAGGAGAGUCUUUGUUACCUGGCGUCUCUCUGCAGUGCCGUUUCAAUGCCUUAGAGCAAGAGAGUGGUGGAUGGACAGUGAUAGUGAUUCACGUGCGCAAUUCACAACUUGCAUUAGCAACCAGGCAAAAGCAAGUGCUGCUUUUAGAGGCCUUGGGAAGAAUUUCCACAAGUUUCCGGCCAUUGGGAUACAGGGGAAAAGGGAUUGGAGGGAGGCUCAUCGGGAACAAUACAUUAGGUAAUGUUGGGGUUUAUAAAUCGAUACCCCCAAAUAUAGUACUGAACCGAAGAAGCAACCUGAAGAUCUCUCUGACCUUCCCCGCUCCACACGGUCUCUCCCAAAAAGCUGAAGUUCCUUUAUUUGCCUAAGAUCCAGACCCUCCAAGGAGAACAGUAGGUUUCUUUUCCUCCUGUAAGACCAAAAAUGUAACCACACCUGAACAGACCUUUUCAUGAGUUAAUGCCUGCUUCUCAUGGUCAUCUAAAUUCCAAAGAAAACUAUUUACAAGUUAAUUUGUUUCCUGAUCAAAUCAUUCUCUUUAGUAAUCAUUUAUUGCCCAUCAACAGAAUUCCUUUUCUCCCGCAGGAUCCAAACUCAUUCUUUCUGUAACCUCAUGAUGGCGUAUAAGCUUUUGCACCUCACUGGGAGGUUGGGUCUUCAUUCUGAAGGCUUCUAUGUAUACAUAUUAAAUAAGUUUGUAUGCCUUUUUUCCUAUUAAUCUGCCUUGCGUCAGUGAUUUUCAGCAAACUUCAGGGAGCCAAAGGCCUUGGCUCCCACAGUGAUAAUAAACAAUAUGACUUUUGGCUAUCAAAAUUCCUGCUGUUAGUUAAGGAAAAAUUGUGACAGUUUCUGAAAUGGACAAAUACAGGCAUCCUUCCAGUGGAUUACUAGGAUUUGUCUAGACUAGAGGACAGGAUGCUUCUGGGGGUUUUCUGAUUCUCUACAGGUCAGUAUCCUUCCUUGUCUUGUACUGUUUUGCAACUCUAGAAAGAAAAGUUAAAUAUGUAGAAGCCUGACAGUGAUACAAAUGAUCCCUGUUCAUAUUAAUACAAAUGCAAAUUGUUUGCCUGGUAGAGAUACAAUUGAUUUUCUCUCUGUAGAAAAAAAGAUGAUCCCAGCCAGGCGUGGUGGCUCACCCUGCAAUUCCAGCACUUUGGGAGGCCGAGACAGGCAAAUCACAAGGUCAGGAGUUCGAGACCAGCCUGGCCAAUAUGGUGAAACCCUGUCUCUACUAAAAAUACAAAAAUUAGCCAGGCGUGGUGGUGGGCGCCUGUAAUCCCAGCUACUCUGGAGGGUGAGGCAGGAGAAUUGCUUGAAUCUGGGAGGCGGAGUUUGCAGUGAGCUGAGUCCUCGCCAUUGCAUUCCAGCUUGGGCAACAGAGUGAGAUUACAUCUCAAAAAAAAAAAAAAAAAAAAAAGAAUCCCAGAAAUUAAAUGUUUUAUAUUUUUGCCACAAGAAAACACGUGCAAGUAUGAAACUUUUUGUAAGGUCCUCUGAGCUGGCUGCACUAUGGUCAAGCCACGGUGACAUUCCCCCACCCUUGUGAUAAUGUACUUUGUGAUACUCCUGUCCUUGUGAAUGUACUUUGUAACAUUCCUCCCCACCCUUGUGACAAUACAUCCUCCCUGCCCUUGUGACAAUACACCCUCCCUGCCCUUGUGAAUGUACUUUGUAACAUCCUCCCCACCCUUGAGAAUGUACUUUGUAAUAUCCAUCCCCUGCCUGUAAAAAAUUGCUCCUGACUACACCGCCUAUCCCAAACCUAUAAGAACCAAUGAUAAUCCCACCACCUUUUGCUGACCCCUUUCUCGGACUCAGCCCACUCACACACAAGUGAAUAAACAGCCAUGUUGCUCACACUAAGCCUGUUCAGGUGGUCUCUUAUGUGGAC